AGCAAUCUGCCUUGGAGUGGGGAAUAACGGCUGGAAACAGCCGCUAAUACCGCAUGAUACAGCUGGGAGGCAUCUCCCUGGCUGUCAAAGAUUUAUCGCUCUGAGAUGAGCUCGCGUCUGAUUAGCUAGUUGGCGGGGUAACGGCCCACCAAGGCGACGAUCAGUAGCCGGACUGAGAGGGCGGACGGCCACACUGGGACUGAGACACGGCCCAGACUCCUACGGAAGGCAGCAG
rnacentral:rRNA from 1 species